CAAUAGCGUAUAUUAAAGUUGUUGCGGUUAAAAAGCUCGUAGUUGGAUUUCGGGUGGGACGCAGCGGUCUCGCAUUGCGUUUGUACUGCUGCAGCCCUCCUUCUUGCCGGGGGCGGCCUGUCGGACUUCACUGUCUGCGGGUCAGAAUCGGCGAUGUUACUUUGAGUAAAUUAGAGUGUUCAAAGCAAGCUUACGCUCUGAAUAUAAUAGCAUGGGAUAACACGACAGGACUCUGGCCUAUCGUGUUGGUCUAUAGGACCAGAGUAAUGAUUAAGAGGGACAGUCGGGGGCAUUCGUAUUCCGUUGUCAGAGGUGAAAUUCUUGGAUUUACGGAAGACGAACAUCUGCGAAAGCAUUUGCCAAGGAUGUUUUCAUUGA
rnacentral:rRNA from 1 species